UACGUAGGGGGCAAGCGUUAUCCGGAAUUACUGGGUGUAAAGGGAGCGUAGACGGCUGUGCAAGCCAGAUGUGAAAGCCCGGGGCUCAACCCCGGGACUGCAUUUGGAACUGUGUAGCUGGAGUGUCGGAGAGGCAGGCGGAAUUCCUAGUGUAGCGGUGAAAUGCGUAGAUAUUAGGAGGAACACCAGUGGCGAAGGCGGCCUGCUGGACGAUGACUGACGUUGAGGCUCGAAAGCGUGGGUAGCAAACAGG
rnacentral:rRNA from 1 species